GUAUCUGAAGCCUGACGAGGAUGAGAACCUCUGGGGGCAAGAGGUUCGACUCGAGCGAAGCGAGAGAACGUUGCGUCAGCAACGGCCCGCAGUGGCAAGUCAUCCUCUGUCACCGGCAG
rnacentral:sRNA from 1 species